GGAGGAAAAGAAACCAACUGGGAUUACCUUAGUAACGGCGAGUGAAGCGGUAAAAGCUCAAAUUUGAAAUCUGGUACUUUCAGUGCCCGAGUUGUAAUUUGUAGAAUUUGUUUUUGAUUUGGUCCUUGUCUAUGUUCCUUGGAACAGGACGUCAUAGAGGGUGAGAAUCCCGUUUGGCGAGGAUACCAUUUCUYUGUAARACUUUUUCGAAGAGUCGAGUUGUUUGGGAAUGCAGCUCAAAGUGGGUGGUAAAUUCCAUCUAAAGCUAAAUAUUGGCGAGAGACCGAUAGCGAACAAGUACAGUGAUGGAAAGAUGAAAAGAACUUUGAAAAGAGAGUGAAAAAGUACGUGAAAUUGUUGAAAGGGAAGGGCAUUUGAUCAGACAUGGUGUUUUUUGCAUGCACUCGCCUCUCGUGGGCUUGGGCCUCUCAAAAAUUUCACUGGGCCAACAUCAGUUUUGGCGGUAGGAUAAAUCAUUAGGAACGUAGCUUCUUCGGGAGURUUAUAGCCUAGUGGAAUACUAUCAGCCGGGACUGAGGACUGCGCUUUAUGCAAGGAUGUUGGCAUAAUGGUUAAAUGCCG
rnacentral:rRNA from 1 species